rnacentral:rRNA from 1 species
GAUGAACGCUGGCGGCGUGCCUAAUACAUGCAAGUCGAGCGAACGGACGAGAAGCUUGCUUUUCUGAUGUUAGCGGCGGACGGGCGAGUAACACGUGGAUAACCUACCUAUAAGACUGGGAUAACUUCGGGAAACCGGAGCUAAUACCGGAUAAUAUUUUGAACCGCAUGGUUCAAAGGUGAAAGACGGUCUUGCUGUCACUUAUAGAUGGAUCCGCGCUGCAUUAGCUAGUUGGUAAGGUAACGGCUUACCAAGGCAACGAUGCAUAGCCGACCUGAGAGGGUGAUCGGCCACACUGGAACUGAGACACGGUCCAGACUCCUACGGGAGGCAGCAGUAGGGAAUCUUCCGCAAUGGGCGAAAGCCUGACGGAGCAACGCCGCGUGAGUGAUGAAGGUCUUCGGAUCGUAAAACUCUGUUAUUAGGGAAGAACAUAUGUGUAAGUAACUGUGCACAUCUUGACGGUACCUAAUCAGAAAGCCACGGCUAACUACGUG